GACGAACGCUGGCGGCGUGCUUAACACAUGCAAGUCGAACGGAAAGGCCCUGCUUUUGUGGGGUGCUCGAGUGGCGAACGGGUGAGUAACACGUGAGUAACCUGCCCUUGACUUUGGGAUAACUUCAGGAAACUGGGGCUAAUACCGGAUAGGAGCUCCUGCUGCAUGGUGGGGGUUGGAAAGUUUCGGCGGUUGGGGAUGGACUCGCGGCUUAUCAGCUUGUUGGUGGGGUAGUGGCUUACCAAGGCUUUGACGGGUAGCCGGCCUGAGGGUGACCGGCCACAUUGGGACUGAGAUACGGCCCAGACUCCUACGGGAGGCAGCAGUGGGGAAUAUUGCACAAUGGGCGGAAGCCUGAUGCAGCAACGCCGCGUGCGGGAUGAAGGCCUUCGGGUUGUAAACCGCUUUCGCCUGUGACGAAGCGUGAGUGACGGUAAUGGGUAAAGAAGCACCGGCUAACUACGUG
rnacentral:rRNA from 1 species